rnacentral:rRNA from 1 species
UACGUAGGGUGCAAGCGUUAAUCGGAAUUACUGGGCAUAAAGCGUGCGCAGGCGGUUCGUUGUGUCGGUGGUGAAAUCCCCAGGCUUAACCUGGGAACUGCAUUCGAGACUGCAUUGCUAGAGUAUGGGAGAGGGAAGUGGAAUUUCCGGUGUAGCGGUGAAAUGCGUAGAUAUCGGAAGGAACAUCAGUGGCGAAAGCGACUUCCUGGACCAAUACUGACGCUCAUGUGCGAAAGCGUGGGGAGCAAACAGG